GACGAACCGUGCGAACGUUGUUCGGAAUCACUGGGCUUAAAGGGCGCGUAGGCGGGCGAUCAAGUCAGGGGUGAAAUCCUCCAGCUUAACUGGAGAAUAGCUUUUGAUACUGGUCGUCUCGAGGGGGGUAGGGGCAUGUGGAACUUCCGGUGGAGCGGUGAAAUGCGUAGAUAUCGGAAGGAACGCCGGUGGCGAAAGCGAUGUGCUGGACCCUUUCUGACGCUGAGGCGCGAAAGCCAGGGGAGCAAAC
rnacentral:rRNA from 1 species